rnacentral:lncRNA from 1 species
GCGUGAGCCACCAUGCCUGGCCUAAUUACUGUAGGUUUCUAAUAAGCCUUUAAGUAAAAUAAUGUCAGUCCUUCAAAUUUGUUCUCCUUCAAUAUUGCAUUUCUGUUCUGGUACUUUUACUUGUAUGUUAACUUUAGAAUCAGCUUAUUGAUAUCCACAAAAUAACUUGCUGGAAUUUUUAUUUGGAUUGUUUUGAAUCUAAAAUUCAAAUUAGAAAAAAGUGACAUACUGAAAACAUUGAGUUUUUCUAUCCACUAACAUGAAAUGCCUCUCCAUUUAAUUUUUCUUUAGUUUUUAAAAUCAGAGUUCUGUAAAUUUUCUCACAUAGACUUUGCACACAUUUUUAGAUUUAUAUUAAGUACUUCAUUUUGAGAGAGCAGGUAUUUUCAAUGGUAAUGUGUUUUUAAUUUCAAAUCCCAUUUGUUUAUUAUUGUUAUAUAGGAAAGCAGUUGACUAAUUUUUAUUGUGGUAAUAAAACACAUAACAUUACAUUAUUAAAUGUAUUUUGUUAAUAUUUUUAGUAUAUAGUUCAAUAGUGUUUAUUAUUACAUGGUUGCAUAGCAAAUUGCUACAACUUUUUCAUCUUACAAAACUGAAACUCUAUACCCACUAAAUACUAAUUCCUCUUACACCCUCCAUCACCCAGUUCCCACUCAUGACAAAAACCUUUCCACUUUCUGCCUCUGUGAUCUUUAUUUCUUUCAAUACUUCAUAUGAAUGGAAUCAUUCAGUACUUGACUUUUUGUGACUGGCUUAUUUCACUUAGCAUAACGUUCUGGAGGUUCAUCCAUAUGGUAGUAUGUGACAGAAUUUUUUUCUUUUUUAGGGCUGAAUAACAUAACUUUGUGUGUAUAUAUCAUGUUUCUUCAUCUAUUCAUCUGUCAGUGAACAUUUGGGUUGCUUCUACCUCUUGGCCAUUGUGAAUAAUGCUGAGAUGAACAUGAGUGUGCAAAUAUUUCUGUGAGAUCCUACUUUAAAUUCUUUUGGAUAUAUGACUAGAAGUGGGAUUUCCAUAUCACAUGCUAAUUCCAUUUUCUAAUUUUUUGAGGAAACUUCAUAUUCUUUUCAUAGUACUUGAAUUAAUUUAAAUUCCCACCAACAGUGUGCAAGUGUUUCAAUUUCUCCACGUUUUAACACUUGUAAUUUUCUGUAAUUUUUAUACUGACAAUUUAUUUCUAAAAUUGGUAUUUUCUUAAUUUCUUUUGCUGAUUGGUCUUUGUUAGUGUACAGAAACACUUAAUAUUUCGUCUGUUAAUUUUGUAUCCUGAAACAUUGCUGAAAUUGUUUGUUGUAACAGUUUUUCGUGGAUUUUUUUUAGGUUUUUCUACAUACUAAAUUAUAUCAUCUGCACACAGAUAUAAUUUUACAUUUCCUUGUCCAAUUUGUAUGCUUUUUAUUUAUUUUCCUUUUUCUUUAUUUUUCUUCUCUGCAUAGGAUUGAUAGUUUGCAAUGUUUUUAUCAUGAAUAGUGUGGAUUUUGUGAAAUGGUUUUUCUGUGUCUAUUAAUAUGAUCAUAUGAUUUUUUUUCUUUGGCCUGUUGAUGUGAUGAAUUAAAUGAAUUCGUUUUCAAAUGUUGAAAUUUCCUCGCAUACCUGAGAAAAAUUCCAUUUGGUCAUGGUUUUCAAUUAUGUAUACAUUAUUAGAUUUGAUUUACUAAAAUGUUGUUGACAAUUUUGCAUCUAUGUACGGGAGAUAUUAGUCUCUAAUUUCCUUUUUUUAAGAAUGUCUUCAUCUGAUUUUGGUAUUACGGUGAUCCUCUUCUUAUAGAAUGGGUUAAGAAGUGCUCUCUCUGCUUUUAUCUUCUGAACAAGAUUGCAGAGAAUUAGUAAAAUUUCUUCCCUAAAUGUUUCCUGGAAUGCACCUGUGAAUCCGUAUGAGCCUGGUGAUUUCUGUUUUGAAGGGCAUUUAUUAUUGAUUCUAUUUCAUUAGUAGAUAUAGGCUAUCCAGAGUGUCUACUUCUUUUUGUGUCACUUUUGGUAGAUUGUGUCUUUCAGGGAAUAGGUAGAUGUCAUCUAGGUUAACGAAUGUGUUGACACAGUACAGCUAUUUCAAAUAUUCUUUUAUUAUCUUUUUAAUAUCCAUGAGAUCUUCAGUAAUAUACCCUCUUUCAUUUAUGAUAUUGGUAAUUGCUCCCUUCUCUUUUUAUCUUAGUUAGCCUGGCUAGAGAUUUAUUAAUUUUAUUGAUCUUAAUGAAUCAGACUUUAGUGUCAUUGAUUUUCUCUAUUGAUUUUUUAAUUUUCAUUUUUAUUGAUUUCUGAUCUACAGUUUAUUAUGUCUUUCAUUCUGCAUACUUUAGAUCUAAUUUGUUCUUUUUCUUUCCAGUUUUCUACGGUGUAACCUUAGACUGUUAAUUUAAGAUCAUUCUUCUUUUAUAAAUUCUUCUUUUAUAAAUCUACAAAUUCCCUCUAAGUAUGCUUUUGUUAUUUCCCAUGAAUUUAGUUGUGUUUUCAUUUUGAUUUAAUUCAAAAUAUGUAUUAAUUUGUCCUGAGAUUUCUUCUUUGACUCAUGUGUUAUUUAGAAGUGUGUUGCUUAAUCUCUAAGUAUUUUGGAAUUUUCCAACUAUCAUUUUUAUUGAUUUCUAGUUUAAUUCCAUUGUGAUUUCAGAGUAGGCAUUGAAUAAUUUAUAUUAUUUUAAUUCUGUGAAGCUGUUUCCAUGGUCCAGAAUAUGGUCUAUUUUGAUGAUUAUUUAAUGUGACCUUGAGAAUAAUAUGUAUUCUACUGUGUUAGAUAAAGUAGUCUACAGAUAUCAAUUUUAUCGAGUUGGUUUAUCAUGCUAUUGAGUUCAACCAUGUUGUUACUGAAAGUCUGACUAUGUUACACCUUUUAAAGUUGUCUAUGGUUCUUAGAUACUUUGUUCUUUUUUUCUUCUUUGCUUUUCAAUUUUGGAAGUUCCUACUGACAUCUUCAAGUUCAGAGAUUCCUUCCUCACUCAUGUUCAGUGUACUAAUGCCCAUCAAAGGCUUUCUUUGUUUCUGUGUUUUUUAUCUCUAGCCGUUUUUUAAAAUUCUUUCUUAGAGUUUUCAUUUCUCUUUCUGCACUAUUUAUCUGUUAUCACGUUGUCUACUUUGUACAUUAGAGCCCUUAUUAAUCUUAGUAUUUUUAAAUUGAUGGUCUGAUAAUUCCGACAUCCCUGCCAUUUUUGAGACUGGUUCUGAAUCUUGCUCUUUCUUUAAACUGUGUUUAAAUUGCCUUGCAAUUUUUUUCUGGAUAUCCUGACAUGAAGGAGGGCACAGGGAACUGCAGUAAAUAAGUCUUUAGGGAUGUGGUGGUGAAGUGGAGAGAAGGGGCUGUUUUGUAGUCCUAUAAUUAACUUGCAGUCUUUUUAGUGAGCCUAUGCCCCUGAACCAUAAAAUUCAUCAGUGCUUCUCAGUCCUCCUCCCACUCAAAAGUAGGACCAGAUGGCUGAGGCGGAGGGGGUGGCUAGAGUUGUGUAUUUCCCUUCUCUCAUUUGAAAGGCUAGAACAGGCUGAAUUUGACUAUUUCCUUUCACCCAUGUGAAAGCUAGAGAGGGCUGGAUUUGCUUUAUGUACUUCCUCAGGUCAGCUGGGCUCUGAUAAAAUCGCAAUAGGUUACGCUCUGGUGAAAUAUUUUCUCUUGAGGGCAGGCCUCGUUAAGAAGAAUAGAAUGCUCUGGGGUAUUUAAAAGUGAGUACAUUUUUACCAUGCUGGAAACACCAGGGAAUUUUCUCGCAUCUGCACUGUAAAAACCUGAUAGAGAGCUCUAAGAAGUAAAGCUCACAAAAGUGUCAGGGCCCUCCUAUUACUUGGUUCCAUAGAGUUUUCAACUCUCCAACUUUUCCAAUCUAAGCCUCCAGCAACUCAUCAAUUACAGUUCAGUUUUCCCUACUAUGUCAUUGGUUUCUAAGGAUGUUUUUGAUUAUGGGUUUCUGUCCUGGUAAGUUGUAAUUUUUUGCAUCCACUUGUCUGUCUCUCCAUUUUGGGGUUUAGUGGUUUGCCCUGUGACCUCAUUUCUGUGAUGACUCUAAGAAGAGUUGUUGCUUUUACGGUUUGUUCCGUUUUUUACUUACUGUUAGAACAAAGACUUUCAAAUUUCCUACAUGCUAAACUGAAAACUAGAAGUCCAUAUUGUUAUUUGAAAGGAAAAAAAAAAUUUCAUAUCCAAGUAGGAGAAUAAAACUUUGAAAGCAAUUCUGAAUCCAAUUCUACAGUGUACUAUUGGCUUCUCUCAGUUCAGACUAGAACCUUUUUCAUGAAAUUUUUUAUUUCACUGGUUUUCUUUUCCAUUUCCAUGACCUCCACAAGGCACCUUGUUUUUGCUGGGUUCUAUUACCUGUUAUUGCCUCUUCACUUCUUGAGUGAACAGGGUAGACUUCAGUCGCCUGCUUAAAUAUUAAUUUCUCCAGUCUUUGAGCCAGUUUACAUAUUGAUGCAUCUUGCCCUCUCUACCAUUAUGAAGAUACCUGAAAUUACUGUGAGCUUGCUGAAAAUUUCAGCUUAAAAUAAUUUUUCUUUAGCAAUUGCCUGUUUUUCUGAGUUAGAAUGAACAGCAUGAAUCUUUGAAAUUGAAGAACAUGACAUGCAUACUUUAUAGUGUUUUGGUAAAGCUCUCUAACUCAUCUUCAUUUUGUCUACAUGACAGGCUUUUACCUUGAAAAGAUGUCCACAAACUCUGCUUGUUCACAAAAAUUCAGUAAAAUCUUGACAUCAAGUUUAUUUCUUUCUAUAUACAGAAGAGUAAGUUUCAGAAAAAGAAAAGUUAAAGAAAAGGCACGUAAAGCCGUAAUCUCUUAUCUUUUCUAAGAUGGUGGUAUCAGAAUGCAUUACCCUCCUUCUGAAAAGUCAUGAUAUCCUAAAACUGCAUGAAUACACUUUAGAAAAACGCUGCAGUUCUCGAUAGCUGCUUGCCUUGUGUCUAGAAUGUAACAGUAUGCUGCCUGUUUACCUCAGGCCAAAGUUGUCAUUUUCACUAUCUGGGCCACUACAUUUCCUCUGGCUAGAGGCCUGUCUUGUAUGUACUAGGGACUUCUGUUAAUGCUGGUGUGUGCAGUUACUCUACACUGAAUUGGAUUUUUGUCAUCUAUUUGAGGAUUACAUGCAUGAUAUGCCUAGUCAUUUUUUUCUUCAUUAUGUUACACCAAAUCUGAACUGAAAACCCUCCACAUUGUAAUGUGUGAGGCCCAAUUAUUCAGAUAGCAAACAGCAAUUAUAUAUAGAUGUAGGUAUUGAUAAGGAAAUGUAAAAUUCAGGGAACUUUCAGGCUAGGUCACAAAUUAAUAAAUUCCAGGGAAUUCAAGAUCAAUGAGAGAUUAAUAUUUACAUGAAUAGUAUUGUUUUUUGGAAACAAACAUGUUUCACCUUGAUUUAUGUUGCUAAAAUGUGCCUAUGGACUUGAAGAUUAUACAAUGGCUAAGUUGAGUUAGGUGAAGCACCAUGCAUUUGGCAAAGUGUGCUCAUUAACGUCCUCAUCCUGAAUUGCUUGUAACACUGUCACUCUCUGGAUAAGUAAAUGGAAGCACAGGCAGGCAAGCAAUGGCUAAGAAGCAGGAUGCCCAUGUCAAACUCUCUCCCUCAAAGUAAAGGGGAAGCAAGUGGUUUAAGUAAGGAGUCCAAAUGAAGACAGAUUUACUUAAGUGUAAAAUGUGAAUUCUGAACUAGAUGAACAUAAAGCCCUGUUCAGCUUUGUGAAUCUACGUUUCUAUGAUUAUCUUGAGUUAUUAAAAGUAAAUUAUGGUAGAUCAUAAUUAAUAAAGGGCCAUCUGUAACACGAAAUCCUCCUUUUUAAUUGGGCUGGGUGAGUUGCCCAAGAUAUUUAUUUUAGGGGAGAUAGGAGAUGUGGAAGAAACUGAAAACUGCUCUAUCCCCUCUCCAGGCACAGUUUCUCAAACUUAGCUGCAAAUAAAAAAUAGAAGGCCUGAUUUUAUUCAGUGCUAAAUUAGGGUGUUGAUAUAAGAUUAGGUGACUAGUAAUGCAAAAGUGUGAAUAAAGUAAAAGACCUUCCUAAUUGUAUGAUUUACAAUAUUUAACAAUCAAAUUACCAGCAAGUAAUUUUUCUGGAGGAGAUUAAAAGCUAAUUCUAUUUGCCAUUACUGAAUGAGUGCUGAUACAGGCCAACCACUAUUUUAAUAUUUUACAAGACUUACUUAUUUAAUCUUCAUAACAAUCUGAUAGAAUAGACAUAAUUAUUAUUCCCAUUUUAUAAAUGAGCAAAGUUUUGCCCAGAAAGAUAACAUUACCAAGAUCGCACAAGCAGAAGUGAGAGAGUCAGGUAUUACAAGCAGAUGCAUUGCUUAAAUAUUAGCUCCUCACUUCUGACAGUUGAUCUGAUACCCUUUGGAUGGCCUAGCAUCUGGUGGACCAGGCAUAUCAAUUCAGCGAGUGCGGUUUUCUGCCUAGAUAUUGUCUGUAGUGUAGAGGAGAAGACAAACUUGCCUGGAGGCUUUCUUCUAGAAUCAGUAGCAAUUUCUUAUCCACAAAAAAGAGAGACUACUCAUUCCUGGCCAUGGAGAUGAGAAAGUGUGCAUCUUAGCCUCUACCACUGACAGUAAAAGAUAACCCGAUAUCCAGAAACAUGAGAAAAACAACCUUGAGCAUAUUCCAUCAUAAACAUUUCACUGCCUUUAAUUUGAAACUUUUUAAGCUACUUGAGUAUUGUCAUCACCCUUUCAACCCCACUUCCUCCACCUUAGUGGGAACUACAUAGUCUAGCAUGGCAUAAAAAUCAAGUUUUAAUAGCAGGUAGAAUUGCAGAUUCCAGAUUUGCCCAUCAACUUGCCAGAGCUGCUGAAUAGUUUAUGACUCACACUGAGUUACACAUCUUGGCCACCGCUUUAUAUAUUCUAAUCUUGAAUCUAUUAACAUUCUCUUUUUCUGGACUGGCCUAAAAUGCCUGCCAUCUGAAUUAUAUUUUUAGGUUCAACAGCAAAGUUUUACUCUGUUAAAAAAAUACUUAUUGAGAACCCAUGGCUUGUGUAAAACAAUGCUUAAUGAAAAGGUAUAUAGAGAUAAAUAACUACAUUUAAGUUCUCAGUGAAUUUACAGUACAAUGUCUUAUCUCCACUCUACCACUGUUAACACACAUCCAUUAUUUGGGGACAAUAACAACAGCAGCCACAACACAACAGUAACUGUUAAGUAUGUAUUAAGAAUUUACUAUGAGCUAGAUAUUAUUACAAAUAUUUUGCAAAAUUUAUCUUGAUAAAUUUUCAUAAUAACCAAAUAAAUAUGUUGUAUUACCCUGAUUUUAUAAAUGAGGCAUCAGAAAGAUGUGGCUAUAAGUAAAUAAAAUAAAUUUAAAUAAAUAAAAUUUAAAAUAAUAAAUGAGGAAACUCAGGAACAGAAAAAUUGGAUAAUUUGGCCAAGAUCACCAGCCCAAACUCCUAAACACUGAGGAAAAUAGUAGCAUGGCCAGGGAGAGAGGAGUAUGUUUUCAUAAUCUUAGAAUCACGUAGAAACCAAGAUUCAGUUUUUAAAUAUGAGAACGCUCACUUUGGAAAUUCUAAGAGAGUGGUGUGGAGGGCUAGAGAUAUAGCGUAACCAUGUCUUAGCUAAGUAAAGGGGUUAGUUCAGACUUGAGUAUCAUGAAAGGAAUAAACUGCAAGGUGCACUGAAGACUUGCCUGUGUGGGCAAGUGGAAUGAGCACGUAGCUAGUUUUUUGGACAGUCCAAGGCACCUUGGGAGCAAUUGACAAAGAUUACUUUUCUAUACACACCUAAUGUUUUAGCUUAUUUGUAAUGCUGUCUUUUAACAUUUCUCCUGUACUGCCUCUCGGGACUACAUUUUAAAAUUUAGAAAAUAAAAUAAAUCACUAUUCACAAUGAACAGCCCUAUAAAAUCCACUCUUUGAGUUCACUUUUUCCUCUGAUUGUUCUUGCUGACCUUGGGAUACUCUUACAUGACUAGUUUUGAGUUUGAUGGUUGGGUCCGUAAAUGCACCACGAAGUCAGUUCUUGCACAUUGUACACAUUUUCAAAUAAAAUGUUCAGCUCUGCUUGGCAGUGCUGUUGUUUCUGGUGUGCUUAUCUCCUUCAGCAAGAAACAGGUGAGUUUGCAUUUACCCCUAUGUCAGGAAUUACAUGUGGAUGUUUGAGAUAAAUGGCACCAUAGCUUUGAUCUCCACCUCCUUCCAGUGGCAGACUGAGCAACUGGCUAACCUCUAUCUGCACCCGGUUCCUUACCCUGUGAAUUUCUAACAAACACUAAAGCCUUAUUUUAUAGAGGUUCAUGUGCUCUACUUUGUACAACAUAUGUGGCAAAUAGUUUUUUGUUUUACUAAUAACUUUACUCAACUUAUUAGUUUUAAGUAGAUGGAAAGCAACAUGUCAAUCAUGUGGAAAUAGUCAUGUGAUUUGAUAAGUCAACCAGUCAUGUUGACCUGCUGAAUCAUUUUUUUAGGAUAUUUUAUUAAAUUAUAGUACAAGUGGUUCUCAUUUUUCCACUGUUUUUAAUCAGGUCAAACCCCAAAAUCUUUUAAGAAACAUAAAAAAUAAGUAUACACAUUUAAUUAUCAUUUUAUGUCACCUGAGACCUGCAAUUUUUUAAAUUUCCCAGUAUUCAUUGAAUGUGUCACCAUGGAAUCAGAGAAAAUUAUUAAAUUAAGCAUCUUAUUAGUUACAAAUGUGUCUAGAAUUCACGGCAAAUAUAAUUUUAGGUUUGAAAUCACAGUGAUGCUGAAGACAGCAUUAUUCCUCCUUCACCUUCAUCUGAAAAUAGAUUGCUUCAGGGAGUUUGAAGAAUAAAAUAUGGAAAAAUGUGUUGUGUCAAUUUCCACAAGAUAAGCAAGGAUAUUAAAUGUAGCCUGAUUUGAGUAAUAAAUCUUUUUUGUACUUAACAAAAUGCAUCUUCCUUGUUAGGAUCCUUCAAGUUUUCUUCUGGCCAUUUCCUAAAUCUACUUCUUAUAAUGUAUGAAUUGAGAAUGCUGAAAUCUCCAAAUAGACCAUUAAAAGACAUACAUUGAAAAUAAAUGGCCUUGAAAUAUUUGGAUUAAAACUUAAAUCUCCCAUAGUAAAUUAAAUUAUUCCUCCGAUCUUCACAUUGCUUUCGGUAAUUGAAUCUCAUAGAAUAGAAGUUGAUUGUGGCAAUAUAUGGGCAUUGGAACAAUAUGUAAAAAGCAAUAAAACUAAAAAUUAAUCCACCUUCAUAUUUGGAAGUCUGUAGAAACAGACAAGGAGUUCGCUAAGUCACAAAAAUUAACUCAAAUGAGUCAGAGACAAAUAUUAUGUUCCAAGAAUAAUACCACGAUGCAGAGGAAAAUAUAGAUAGAAACUCUGUCAGAAACAAACUUUUAAAUUCUUGUUAUUUACAGUGUUUCCUGUGAACUAAGAAUCAAAGAUGUAGUGUUUCUAAAUGUUCUCCAUCCCUCCAGAUACCAAUCUUCAGGACUGGGAACAAGAAAUUAGACAGAAAUUGGGAAUUUCUGCAACCAUGUUAUUCUGAAAAUACGCCCAAGAUUUCUCAGAUUCUUUACAAAUUGUUAUGAAUAUCUUUUUUCAAUGUCUAAUAAAUACAAAAUUUUGAGUGUAGUGGUAUUUACAAGGACCUGUAGUGUAGGGUGAAUAUUUAAAUACUGGAAAUCACCAGUAAUCCUUAUUGGGCAGUAUUUGCAUAAUGUAACAUUAGGAUCAUCUAAGCAAGUUAAACGGCUCUAACACAGUAUCACGUGUUUAACUCGCUAUAUUAAGGUCUUAUUUUGUUUCCUAAACUUGCAUUUUUGGUCACCUUAUGUGCAAGAAUUACUCAUUAGCUGAAGAUAGGACCAUAAACAUCUGCUUAUAACAUGGCAAGAGCUACAGGUAAGACUGAGGAAAUCAUGAUCAUUUCUCUCCUGCCAACUCACGAAAAUGGUCACUUUAACCUUAGACCUUGCAUGUCAGCUUUGCUUCCUCCAAACCAGUUAAGUCUCUGUUAAUAUUCAAGCUUUAAUGCUCGCAGAAUAAUCAUUGUCCUGAUUUCUCAACUAAUUUUUUCUUGACAUCAAAAAUUGAGAAAAAAAUACAAAUUUCCUAAAAAAUAGAAAAAUCUACAUGGAGAUAUUAAAAGAUAAUAUACAUUUUUUACAGUAUAACUCUGAUAUUAGGAUUGUUGGGAUUAUGGGUUUAGUUUUUAUUUAAUAUUAUUUGGUAAUAUUAUAUCAACUUUGCAAUAGUAAAGGCUUGCCCUUACUGAGAUACUCUUAAAAAUUGUUUAAAAAACUAUAAGGCUAUUUAUUGAGAUAGUAAAUUAUAAAUAUUGAUAUAUGCUGCAUGAAAUGAGGUUCAGGCAAAAUUUAAGUGAGUGAUUACAUUACCUCAAACAUAGCUCUUUCUUACAUUAAAGAUCUUUCUUACAUUAAAGAUCUCCCAGCCAAUCAAUCCUUGUGGCUCUGUCCUUUUACCCUUUAAGAACUGCCAUAAAGGAUAAGAGGAAGCCUGAAUUUACUGCUUCAACCUGUAGUGAUUUUCUACCCUAAAUCUUAUAUCCUUUUGGGACUCAUAUCUUUAGCCAUUAAAACAACAACAACAACAACAACAAAAACCUCAGAAUGUCCACUUUUUCAGACGAUUUUAACUAACCAAUAACCUACCAAGAUAUUACAAAAUGGCAGGGACCUACAUUAAACUCCUGUGAUGUUUUGCUGCAUGUGCUGCAAUCCCCUAAUGUAGAUGUAAAAUAAAAACUCAGUAAGGAUUAGUCAAUAGAGUCAGAUUGUCUGAUAAAAUAGACUAUAGUUUUCUUGAUAAUUUGCACAGUGUUUUUAAUGAUUUCAUAAAAUUUUGACUUAGAAAAAAAUAAGGGCUCUACUUACUGAAUUAAACAGAAUCUCAAUUUAAUUGGCUGCCCAUCAGAUGACCUCCUUCUUAGUCUCAUCCUUGUUCCUGUUCUAAUAUGAAAUUCCUGCCAGUAUUUUCUUGAACAUGUUCUUUUUUAUCCUCUGAAAUCUGUAUGCCUCCACCUUUAAACUGGAGAUUUCAAAAAAAGUCUUCCUUUCUCUGUUAUCAUAAGUUUUUAAGAAUUGCAAAGUACCCAGAUUGCCUCUAUAUUAAAGUAAAAUAUAAAUUUCAUGUCAUAGAGCCAUACAAAAAUGACAGUCAUUUAGUUGUUUAGUUGCUCUGGUAGCUUACAAUGCGUUGGUUCUCACUGUAUCUCAAUGAGUUACAUAGGCUUCACUUUUAGUAUACAUGAUUGACUGUGGGGCUUAAUAUUGAAUAAAAUAGCUGCUAUAGAUGCUCAAAAUAGGCAUAAUCAAAGGUUUUUACUCUCUGUGGCAUGUGUCAUGUUAGAACGGAAUUUUCACUGGAAGGUAGUAUGCCCUUGCAGAGAAAUCUUAGUCCCGGGUAAAAAGUGGGAAGAAACACCAAUGGAUCUAUAGCACAUCUCUAGCCAUAAGCAUUUCUCUCCUUUUUUUGGAAUCAGGACAUAAAUUGUCAAUUUAUGUUGUCUAAACUAAUGUAUUCUUCUUUCUCAAUCAUGUAUUCACUUAAAAAAUACACAAGGACAUAAUGACCAGUCUUUUUUCACCCAUUAUGUAAAUGUAGACAUAAUUUUUAUAGGGACAACUGGAAGAUCAUCUUUGUGAGAGACAGAGACAGACCUUGGAGCAAAACCUCAAGAUAAUGUUCCUCCAACAGCACCAUAAAACAGCUAUCUAUCUGACCUACUCACAAAAGAGGUCUUUUACUGCAUCCUUUGCCAAACUGUAUACUCUCACCUAGGUUUUUAAAACUUUCCUGAAAUUGAAUAGCUACGAUUAUAUUUACACUAUUUACCUCACAUUGUUGUUAGAAUCGAAUCAUCCAAUAAGUAGGGAGGUGUUUUAAGAAUAAUGCUAUCCAAAUGUAUUAUAACAAAGGAUGCUCUUAAAUGCCACAUUUUCCAAAAGAAUAGAAAAAUUAAAAAACUUUUAAAACACAGGAAAUACAGCAACUUAUAUAAAACCUUCAGGGAUAUGUAGGAAAUGUAAUGAGGAUACAUCUCUAAGAACAAAACAAAGGUAAGCAAAGCAAACUUAAAAAAAAUAGGGUCAGAUCCACAAAAUAUCUAUGAAACGAUCAUCAGAAAAGAACACUGCUAUAUUUUCCAUCUGUCAUCUCAGACUACCUAUGUCUCCAAUCAGACAUUAGGCUCUGUUUUACAGAUGAACCAAAUUCUACAGUUAGAAUGUUUGCUCCAAACACAGCUGGAUUAAGGAAGUGUCACAAAAUAUUAGAUUAUUUUAGAGCCAAGGGAAGUCUUUCCUCUUUACACAUAGUAUGAGAUUGCCCUAGGCUGGGUGCCAUGGCUCAGGCCUGUAAUCCCAGCACUUUGGGAGGCCAAGACAGGUGGAUCACUUGACGUUAGGAGUUAGAGACCAGCCUGGCCAACGUGGCAUAAUCCCAUCUCUAGUAAAAAUACAAAAAAAGAAAAAAUUAGCUGGGUGUGGUGGUGGGAGCCUGUAACCCCAGCUACUUGGGAGGCUGAGGCACAAGAAUCGCUUGAACCCAGGAGGCAGAGAUUGCAGUGAGCUGAAAUCAUGCCACUGCACUCCAGCCUAGGUGACAGGUGAGACUCUGUCUCAAAAAAAAAAAAAAAAAAAAAUUUGCAUACGGCUAAGCAGUUUUCCCAACACCAUUUAUUAAAUAGGGAAUCCUUUUCAUACUGCUUGUUUUUGUCAGGUUUGUCAAAGAUCAGGUGGUUGUAGCUGUGCUAUCUUAUUUCUGAGAUCUCUAUUCUGUUCCAUUGGUUUAUGUGUCUGUUUUGGUACCAUUACCAUGCUAUUUUGUUUACUGUAGACUUGUAGUAUAGUUUAAAGUCAUGUAGCAUGAGGUCUCCAGCUUUGUUCUUUUUACUUAGGAUUGUCUUAGUUAGACAGGCUCUUUUUUGAUUCCAUAUACAAUUUAAAGUAAUUUUUUCUAAUUCUGUGAAUAAUGUCAAUAGUAGUUUAAUGGGAAUAUCAUUUCUUUGGGCAGUAUGGCCAUUUUCAUGAUAUUGAUUUUUCCUAUCCAUGAGCAUGGAAUAUUUUUCCAUUUGUUUGUGCCCUCUCUUAUUUCCUUGAGCAGUGGUUUGUAGUUCUCCUUGAAAAGGUCGUUCACGUCCCUUGUUAGCUGUAUUCUUAGGUAUUUUAUUCUCUUUGUAGCAAUUGUGAAUGAGAGUUCAUUCAUGAUUUGGCUCUCUGCUUGUCUAUCGUUGGUGUAUAGGAAUGCUUGUGAUUUUUGCACAUUGAUUUUUGUAUCCUGAGACUUUGCUCAAUUUGCUUAUCAGCUUGAGGAGCUUUUGGGCUGAGUAGAUGGGGUUUUCUAGAUGUAGGAUCAUGUUGUCUGCAAACAGAGACCAUUUGAUUCCCUAUUUGAAUACUCUUUAUUUAUUUCUCUUGCCUGAUUGCCCUGGCCAGAACUUCCAAUACUAUGUCGAAUAGGAGUGGAGAAAGAGGGUAUCUUUGUCUUGUGCUGGUUUUCAAAGGGAAUGCUUCCAACCUUUGUCCGUUCAGUGUGAUAUUGUCUGUGGGUUUGUCAUAAAUGGGUCUCAUUAUUUUGAGAUAUAUUCCAUCAAUGCCUAGUUUAUUGAGAGUUUUUAAAAUGAAGGGAUAUUGAAUUUCGUCAAAAGCUUUUUCUGCAUCUAUUGAGAUAAUCAUGUGGCUUUUGUCAUUAGUUCUGUUUAUGUGAUGAAUUACGUUUAUUGAUUUACACAUGUUGAACCAGCCUUGAAUCCCAGGGAUGAAGCCAACUUGGAAAAAAAAAAAAAAAGAUUGCUCUUCUGAUUCACUGAAAUUGAAACAGAAAGAAAGAAAAACACAACUUAUUAGUCAAUAAUUUGAACUCCUCCUCUUAGCAGCAUCUCCUGGUCAGCAUUAUAAUAAUUAUUCAAAAGCAGUGAUUCUGAAUAUGCAAAAGCAGUGAUUCUGCAAAUACUCUCAGAAAUUCUCAGAUCAUUUGAAACAUCUACUAUAAGUUCUCAAAAUAAAUGAGAAAAUAUUACUGUAUUAUUUAAACAAAGUCCAUUUCUUUGUUAUAAACCACUGACUACACCCCAGGAAUACUUCAAGGAAGAAAGGACACAAGAAGAUUUCGGGGAACAUACAAACAUCAGGCUAGGCUUUCCAUACAACAGAAGAUCUUCAUCUAACUAAGCCAAGAGGAGAAUGCUGGGUGAGGCUCAAAGAGCUUCAAUGACUUGCCUCAGAAAUGACAGGAUGGACCUUGUGUAACCCAGUGAUGUAUUCAUAAUCGACAGUUGCCAAGUUGAUGCUCCAUUAUUACCUUGAGUUUUGAUGAUCCUUUGAUAUGCCAUGACCCAACAGAGAUAAGGUGUCCUGGGAGUGGAGAAAGGGCAGUUUCAUACAUGUUGUCAGCAUGUCACAUGUUUUUUCAAUAUUUAAGGAAGGAAUCUGGAGAAACAGGAAUCUGGAGUUGAAUUCCUCUAUGGUCAGAUGGUAUCAUGACCUCAUCAUUGGCGUAGUUUCCUCUCCAGGAAUGGAACAUUGAAGAGAGGAAAGAAUCAUAGACUUUGUUUGUAUCCUGCCAACCCUCAACAGAACAGACUGCAAUAGGGGAGGAAUGGACGUAACCACUAACAGUAAAUAACUCUUCUCCAGGAAGCAUUUCCAAAGAAGUCCAUCACACCUUUGUUCUUGGCAAACAUCCUCACUUUUCUGGUUUGCUUUGAAAAGCAACAGGCAGCAUGUACACAACAAACGUCACCCAGGAAAUAGGCAAGCAGUAAGUGUCAUGGAUUCCUCUAUUUGCUCAGUUCUUACAGAAAAUCUUAUACAUGGACUAGCAAACUGCACAAGGACAUUAUUUGUCUUGCCCAAACCCUGCAGUUGGUGUUGUCUUUCUUCUCCUGGUGCAGGCCGAUGUCCUAGUCCACCCAUACAGCUUUUUCUCCUCCAUGAGUCCUGUUCUGUUUCUACUAGUACUUCCUGAGCCAUAUUGUGUCCCUUACUACUGGUGAGCUCUAGCUAAAUUAUGGAUCCCAUGACAACAACAUGGGCUAACUACAGCCUUUUUACAUAUUUAAAGACAGAGUCUAAGGAAGAACAAAAACAACUUUUUACAAUGAGAUUCAUAACUAAAGAUGCAUUUCAAUGACUUCUCCUGCCUCUACCACCACAAAUACGGCAGAUUUAGUGCCUUAGUUACAUCAUAAUUGCUCAGGAAAAAGCAGACUGACAUUUCAACUGCUUGUUAGCUACAACUAUAGAGACUUGAACUUUGUUUUUCUAUAUAAAGGGCUACAUUCACUAUCUGUUUUAAUUCUCAAUUUAAUUUGAGCUGGAAUCACAUAUGAUGUCAAAUAAAGAAGGUCAGGUGUGGUGGCUCACGCCUAUAAUCCCAGCACUUUGGGAGUCUGAGGUGGGUGAAUCACCUGAGAUCAGGUGUUCGAGACAAGCCUGGGCAACAUGGUGAAACCCUGUCUCUACUAAAAGUACAAAAAUUAGAUGGGUGUGGUGGCUCAUGCCUGCAGUCCCAGCUACUCAGAAGGCUAAGACAGGAGAAUUGCUCAAACCUGGAAGGUGGAGGUUGCAGUGAGCCAAGAUCGUGCCACUGUACUCCAGCCUGGGCAACAGAGCAAGACUCUGUCUCACAAAAAAAAAAAAAAAAAAAAAAAAGCAAAAAUGAUCCAGGAAGAGCAACAAAGAAUUUGAUUUAUAGUCCUGGGUUUAAUUUCCCAGUAAAAUAGUACAAGCUAUUUUAUGAUGGCAUACUUGGAAAGCCAUGAACCUAGACACAGGUACACUGUAUAAACUCAGUGUGACCUUGCCAAAAGACGCCAAAAUGGAAAGUAAAGAGGUUCGGACUAGUGAACCUCACUUGUACAAGAGAUGAGAAUAGCCAAAUACAUAGGAUCUAACAAAUAAACUAGAAUUAGAGAAUCUUGUUUGAAAAGAAAAUAAAUCUUGGGGCCCCAAAAUCACUAAGCUAAAGGGAAAAUCAAGCUAGGAACUGUUUAGGGCAAACCUGCCUCAUAUUCUAUACAAAGUCGCCCCUCUGCUCACUGAGAUAAAUGCAUAUCUGAUUGCCUUCUUUGGAGAGGCUAAUCAGAAACUCAAAAUAAUGCAACCAUUUGUCUCUUUUCUACCGAUGACCUGGAAGCCCCCUCCCCACUUCAAGUUGUCCCUCCUUUGCUUCAAGAUGGAACCAAUGUUCAUAUUACAUAUGUUGAUUGAUGUCUCAUGUCUCCCGAAAAUGUAUAAAAUCAAACUGUGCUCUGACCACCUAGGGGAAAUGUCGUCAGGACCUUCUGAGGCUGUGUCAUGUGUGCAUGUCCUCACUUUGUCAAAAUAAACUUUCUAAAUUAACUGAGACCUCCCUCAGAUAUUUGGGGUUCACACCAGCUUUUCUUUGUUCUGACUUUUAACUGUAUUGUUUUUGGGCAGGGCAAUUUAUACAUUUCCUAUGGGGUCUCCAUACUACUGUAUUUCUUGUAGUAUGGUUAAAGGUACUUGAAAUAACUUCAACAUGGAAAAUGGAAUCUUGACACCUAUGAGUAAAAUAAAUGCAGGCACCUUUUGUCUGUGAGUUUCAAUGAGCAGAUGAGAAGGGAUUCUCUAGCCCAUGGAGAAUAAGGGUUAGAGUAUCAGCCUAUGAGAGUCAAGUGGGGAGUCAAGAACUUUGUGUUUCCAGGUGGCCAGCAACACUUCCCCUUUCUCCUCUUCUCCAAAGGAGUUUUGGGUUAGUCUUACCUGGUUAGGAGAGGGAUAGCAAUUUUGUCAAGCAGUUCUGAUAGCUGUAAUAGCAAAAGGACAGAAUACGGUGAUUACCUAUUACCUCAGGUUGCCCUGGAGAGGAGAUUCAAGGACUGUCUCUUUUAUGAAUCAUAUUUGAGUAGCUCUGGGUAUUAUUGAGAAUGGCCUUGCAUUAACUACUCAAGGGACUUAUGUAUAAGUAACAACCAACCACUUUAAUGAUAGCAUCUUGAACAGGUGACACUCUUACAUUUUAAAUACGUUUUGCACUUAAUCUAAACUGAUUAUAAAAUCACAUCAUUAUGUUUAUAUAUUUAGGCUACAGAUUUCAGCUCAUUUCAGAAAUAAUCGGGUUAAAAAGAGAGAACUUUUGAUAGAAGUGAAAAAGGACAUUUUGGGGUGUGGUUCUCAUGCACCUAAAGGCGAUUUUGGGGAGAUCAUCCUACCAAAAUGGAAAUUUGGAAAAGGAAAGAAGAAAGCUCACAUAUUAAUAUUUUGAAACAUUAGUAUUGUACAGAUUUCCAAGGGCAGAGAAUAUGAUUUGUCUGCAUACCUCUAGAUGGAAAGUUCAAUACUCAAUAGAAGUAAUUAAAUAACUGGAAUCACAAAUAAAGGAAGACGACACUCACGCCAUGGAAGGAGAUUUUCCUUUCUUUCUUGGCCUUCCUACUUUAACUUCUGCCUUCCCUUUGUACAACGGAAAAUCUCUCAUCCCGUACCCUUCCAUCCUACCCCAGACCUAAAUGUGCCUUACCUUUUGAGAAGAUCUGUCAGAGGUGUUCUAUUCAAGAACAACUCCAUCUUGAAUAGAAGCUGGGCAACAUAAUGCUGAGACCUACUGGGUUGCAUUCCCAGAUGGUUAAGGCAUUCUAAGUCACAGGAUGAGAUAGGAGGUUGGCACAAGAUACAGGUCAUAAAGACCUUGCUGAUAAAACAUUGCGGUAAAGAAGCUGGCUAAAACCCCCAAAACCAAGGUGACCAUGAGAGUGACCUCUGGCUGUCCUCACUGCUACAUUCCCAUCAGUGCCAUGAUAGUUUACAAAUGCCAUGGCAAGGUCAGGAAGUUAUGCUAGAUGGUCUAAAAGGGGAGGUAUGACUAACCCACCCCUUGUUUAACAUAUCAUCAAGAAAUAACCAUAAAAAUGCGCAACCAGCAGUUCUUGGGGCUGCUCUGUCUAUAGAAUAGCCAUUCUUUUAUUUAUUUACUUUCCUAAUAAACUUGCUGUCACUUUAUGGACUCAUCUUGAAUUCUUUCUUGUGCGAGAUCCAGGAACCCUCUCUUGGGGUCUGGAUUGGAACCUCUUUCCCAUAACAGUUCCAGAACCUGCAAGGUAAGGAUGAGGUCGCAUAAAAGCUUCGGAAGUUGGAAGUUGGAGAAAUUUGGCUUUGAAUCUUGUUUUAAAGAUAGGGGCUCGCAAAUAGAAAACUAAGUCAGAAAGGAGGCAAAUGCAAGAUCAUUCACAGGAGAACUUCCUAUGUGAAAUCAAAAGACAACAAAUGAUGUUGGGUAGGAGCAAGAAUCCAAGUGACCAGAGGGACAAAAUGUGACUUGGGGUGGUUGUGAGAAAAAAAAAUCUGUUCAACAAGAAUAUAGACUCAGAGAGAGAGGGGGAUACACUUUCUUCUGUGAAGAUGAAAUGUGUAAGCAGAGGGUAGAGGCUAAUGGGAAAAGACAUCUUCCUGGGAUGCUUGUCUCUGUACUCUUCAAGGGUUAUCUUGCUCUGGGCAUUUAUAAUGGCUUUUCUCCAUUUUCUCCAGUGAAGUCCAGUUUUCUAAUCAACUCUCAUGUCAAUCCUAUAUCUUUUUCAUCUGCCUUAAGGAUUCCUUGCAUGUGCGAGCAGGAAAGUCUUUGAGAUUCUUUAACACAGUCAACUAACAAAUGGGAAAACUAAGGAUCUGGUCAAAUAAGUGACUUAUUGUCACUAGAAACAGUUGUGGCAAACAUUUUUAACAAAUCCAAAUUUUCUUAGUCUUAUUCCAGUUUUCUUUUUAGCGUGCCAGGCUGCUUCCAGUUAUUUCAUUUCUCCUCCUUCUGAGAACUCUGUGUGUGUGCACAUGUGCAUUUGUAUAUGUUGGUCUCUUAUGUAUAUGUUAAUAAGGAUGGUUAUCUAAGGGACAAAAUUACUCAGUAAGAUAUGAAAAGGCUUCUAAGAUAUAUUUUGAAGGUUAAUAUAACUGCCAAAUGUGUUCAAAUGGAUUUUAAUUUACUCUUUAACAAUUUAUUUGCCUCUGUCUGUCCCCUUGGAGCAAUGCCAUCAAAUAGAAAUAUAAUGAGAGUCACAAAUACAAGUUGCGUAUGUAAUUUUAAAUUUUCAAGUAGUUACAUUUAAAAAGCAAGAUGAGCAAAAUUAAUUUUAAUAAUGUUUUUCUUAGCUUAAUAUACCCAAAAUAUUAUCAUUUUAACCUGUAUUCUAUAAAGAAGUUAUUAUGCGAGUUUUAUAUUUUCUCACAAUGAGUCUUCAAAGCUGGUGUGUAUUUUACAUUUUUAGCUCAUCUAAAUUUAGAAUAGCCACAUUUAAGGUGUUCAACAGCCAUAUCUGGUUAGUAGCUACCCUAUCAGGCCUUAGAGUAUAAUUGUUUAGGCACAGCCCUUAUUCAGUCACAAAAAUCGUAGCCAUUGCCCAUUUAAUAGCUAUUAUUUUGGUACCAGA